rnacentral:rRNA from 1 species
AUUGAACGCUGGCGGCAUGCCUUACACAUGCAAGUCGAACGGUAACAGGUCUUCGGAUGCUGACGAGUGGCGAACGGGUGAGUAAUACAUCGGAACGUGCCCGAGAGUGGGGGAUAACGAGGCGAAAGCUUUGCUAAUACCGCAUACGAUCUCAGGAUGAAAGCAGGGGACCGCAAGGCCUUGCGCUCACGGAGCGGCCGAUGGCAGAUUAGGUAGUUGGUGGGAUAAAAGCUUACCAAGCCGACGAUCUGUAGCUGGUCUGAGAGGACGACCAGCCACACUGGGACUGAGACACGGCCCAGACUCCUACGGGAGGCAGCAGUGGGGAAUUUUGGACAAUGGGCGCAAGCCUGAUCCAGCCAUGCCGCGUGCAGGAUGAAGGCCUUCGGGUUGUAAACUGCUUUUGUACGGAACGAAAAGACUCUGGUUAAUACCUGGGGUCCAUGACGGUACCGUAAGAGUAAGCACCGGCUAACUACGUGCCAGCCGCCGCAGUAAUAC